rnacentral:rRNA from 1 species
GAUGAACGCUGGCGGUGUGCCUAAUACAUGCAAGUCGAGCGAACAGACGAGGAGCUUACUCCUCUGACGUUAGCGGCGGACGGGUGAGUAACACGUGGAUAACCUACCUAUAAGACUGGGAUAACUUCGGGAAACCGGAGCUAAUACCGGAUAACAUGUUGAACCGCAUGGUUCAACAGUGAAAGACGGUCUUGCUGUCACUUAUAGAUGGAUCCGCGUCGCAUUAGCUAGUUGGUAAGGUAACGGCUUACCAAGGCAACGAUGCGUAGCCGACCUGAGAGGGUAAUCGGCCACACUGGAACUGAGACACGGUCCAGACUCCUACGGGAGGCAGCAGUAGGGAAUCUUCCGCAAUGGGCGAAAGCCUGACGGAGCAACGCCGCGUGAGUGAAGAAGGUCUUCGGAUCGUAAAACUCUGUUAUUAGGGAAGAACAAAUGUGUAAGUAACUAUGCACGUCUUGACGGUACCUAAUCAGAAAGCCACGGCUAACUACGUG